CAACCCUCAAGCCUGGCUUGGUGAUGGGGCACUGCUUCGAGAGGAGCAGGCCCUGAAAUUCAGUGGCGAGCUCGCCAGGACCCCGAGCGUAGUAGUUAUAUCUCGCUCUGGAAGGCCCUGGCGGUGCCCUGCCGUUAAACCCCCAACUUCUGAAA
rnacentral:misc_RNA from 2 species